rnacentral:rRNA from 1 species
GACGAACGCUGGCGGCGUGCUUAACACAUGCAAGUCGAGCGAUGAAGCACCUUCGGGUGUGAAUUAGCGGCGAACGGGUGAGGAACACGUGAGAAAUCUGCCUUCAACUCUGGGAUAACUCCGUGAAAACGGGGCUAAUACCGGAUAUGAAACCUGCGGGCAUCCGCGGGUUUGGAAAGUUUUUCGGUUGAAGAUGAUCUCGCGGCCUAUCAGCUUGUUGGUGAGGUAAUGGCUCACCAAGGCGACGACGGGUAGCCGGCCUGAGAGGGCGACCGGCCACACUGGGACUGAGACACGGCCCAGACUCCUACGGGAGGCAGCAGUGGGGGAUAUUGGGCAAUGGAGGAAACCCUGACCCAGCGACGCCGCGUGCGGGAUGAAGGCCUUCGGGUUGUAAACCACUUUCAGCAGGGAAGAAGCGAAAGUGACGGUACCUGCAGAAGAAGCACCGGCUAACUAUGUGCCAGCAGCCGCCGUAA